rnacentral:tRNA from 1 species
GGGGUUGAGCGAUCUGGGGUUCUGCAAAAGCCCCGGAAAACCACCCCUCGCACAGUCUUUGUAAUCAGGCGGUCGCGGGUUCGAAUCCUGCUGCCGGCACCA